rnacentral:rRNA from 1 species
UGGGGAAUAUUGCACAAUGGGCGCAAGCCUGAUGCAGCCAUGCCGCGUGUGUGAAGAAGGCCUUCGGGUUGUAAAGCACUUUCAGCGAGGAGGAAGGUGGUGAGCUUAAUACGCUCAUCAAUUGACGUUACUCGCAGAAGAAGCACCGGCUAACUCCGUGCCAGCAGCCGCGGUAAUACGGAGGGUGCAAGCGUUAAUCGGAAUACUGGGCGUAAAGCGCAGCAGGGCGGUUUGUUAAGUCAGAUGUGAAAUCCCCGGGCUCAACCUGGGAACUGCAUUUGAAACUGGCAAGCUAGAGUCUCGUAGAGGGGGGUAGAAUUCCAGGUGUAGCGGUGAAAUGCGUAGAGAUCUGGAGGAAUACCGGUGGCGAAGGCGGCCCCCUGGANGAAGACUGACGCUCAGGUGCGAAAGCGUGGGGAGCAAACA